UUCUGGGAGGAUUGACAGAUUGAGAGCUAUUUCUUGAUUCGGAGGAUGGUGGUGCAUGUCCGUUCUUAGUUGGUGUAGUGACUUGUCUGGGUAAUUCCGAUAACGAGCGAAACUCUAGCCUAUUAAAUAGGUGCCUGGUUUUUUGCGCCUUGCACCCUUCUUAGAGGAACAAGCGGUUCCUAGCCGGACGAAACAGAGCAAUAACAAGUCUGUGAUGCCCUUCGAU
rfam:Ixodes scapularis strain Wikel colony gcontig_1108379610302, whole genome shotgun sequence.